CAGAGGUGCCAAGCGUUAGGCGGAAUCACUGGGCUUAAAGCGCGUGUAGGCGGGUCGUUAAGUGUCCGAGUGAAAUCCCACGGCUCAACCGUGGAACUGCCGGGCAUACUGGCGAUCUUGAGGCAUUCAGGGGCGAGCGGAACAAAUGGUGGAGCGGUGAAAUGCGUAGAUAUCAUUUGGAACGCCAAUGGUGAAAACAGCUCGCUGGGAAUGAUCUGACGCUGAGACGCGAAAGCCAGGGGAGCGAACGGGAUUAGAUACCCCGGUAGUCCUGGCCCUAAACGAUGUCCACUAGAUCGUGGCACCUUUGACGGUGUCAUGGUCGGAGCAAAAGUGUUAAGUGGACCGCCUGGGAAGUACGGUCGCAAGGCUA
rnacentral:rRNA from 1 species